rnacentral:rRNA from 1 species
UACGUAGGGGGCAAGCGUUGUCCGGAUUUAUUGGGCGUAAAGAGCUCGUAGGUGGUUCGGUAAGUCGGAUGUGAAAUCUCCAGGCUCAACCUGGAGGGGUCAUUCGAUACUGCCGUGACUAGAGUUCGGUAGGGGAGUGUGGAAUUCCUGGUGUAGCGGUGAAAUGCGCAGAUAUCAGGAGGAACACCAAUUGCGAAGGCAGCUCGCUGGGACGUUACUGACGCUGAGACGCGAAAGCGUGGGGAGCAAACAGG